rnacentral:lncRNA from 1 species
AAAAGUCAGCGUUUUUUCCCCCAAUGUUCACAGAUGUUCAUGUUCCUGUCUUAAUGCUCUCUAGCCACCCUUUAGCCCCGUUCUUACCAGCUAGAUUGUUAUAGCAGUCUGUCUGGGUGGUAUGCAGUAUGUUUUCUUGUUCAGGCGUGAGGGCCGGGCCCUGAGGUCCGAGAUUAGGUAACGGAGAGGGCAGACUCGGAUCCAGACCCCGCAGCUGAAGCAGAGCUCGAUGGUACCUACUCACAGCAUCUCGGUACUUCCCUUCCCGGUAGCGCUGGUUCCCUUCCUCCUUGUACAGCUGAGCCUCCUGCAGACGCUUCUCCAUAACUGUCGCCCACGGUUCUUGCGGAACUGGGGUGAAGGAGCAAGUGAAGCUCUGGGGUUGGGAGCAAAAUAACUGACAGUAGCAGCCAAUUUAAGGAGGCAGGAAAUUACCCUUCUUCCUGGAGAGUCCCCCCACAGGGACCUGCGGUUUGCUUGUUUCUACUGAAAGCCCCACCUCUCCUUUCUGCAGUCUUUUUCUCAAGAAGUGCAGGCAAGUAGUUAGGAAAGGGAUGUGGGAAUAAUGAAGCCAAACAUUAAGUGACUUCCUAAAGAGGCGACGUGGGGGUGAUGAGACUUUUCCG